rnacentral:lncRNA from 1 species
CAACCGGACUGCAACCUCAUGAGAUACCCUGAGCCAGAACCACCAGCUAAGCCACUUCUCAAGUCCUGACUCACAGUGCUGCAAGAUAAUAAACGUUUUGGAGUCAUUCGUAACACAGCAAGUGAUAAUGAAGAUACGUGGGUUGAGUGGGGCUUUGCCUAAUAUGCCCUAGUGCCUCCUGAAAGUGAAUGAGGCCAGCUGGGAUGACUAGGCACUGCUCAGAGAGCUGGGGGUUUCUGGCUGUUCCUUUGUUUGCCCGUGGUGGCCAGCAUGUUUGCAGUUGGGAGGAUUCUUCACCAGUCUAACACAUGCCUCAGUUUUCUAGGUGAGAAACCCAGACAAGGCUGGCACUGCACAGAGAUGGAACCUGAUGAAACGGCCCCAUUUGAGCGCCUGCUGUAUCGCGUUGGCUCUGCUUCCUGCAGCUGUGCUCCAAGAUGAGCCUUUCAGACAUCGCUCCCUAAUAGCUCCAUCUCCCCCAGUCCAGGAGGAUGCGCAUUCCUCUCCUCAUUCACAUGCACCACUUCAAGCCAUCUGCACGCUCUACAGGGGACUUGCCGCCUAACAUCCUAAUGUGCAACCCCAUCCAAAUCCUCUGCUGGAAUCUCACUAUUUGCACCACUUACGCUCCUGGAGCGUGAAACAGAAGGGCCAGUCCUCUUGUCUCUUUAUUCUAAGUGUUUAAUACAGAUUCCAUGGACUUGGUCCAUAACAAUAUGAGUGUGGUCUUACAUCAGUCCUUUUACUAAUUUCUCAUCAUCUCCCUCAUCCUUGUCCUUUA